rnacentral:rRNA from 1 species
CACGUAGGGCGCAAGCGUUGUCCGGAAUUCUUGGGCGUCAAGAGCUCGUAGGCGGUCUGUUGCGUCCGCUGUGAAAACUCGGGGCUUAACCCCGAGCCUGCAGUGGAUACGGGCAGACUAGAGGUAGGUAGGGGAGAAUGGAAUUCCCGGUGUAGCGGUGAAAUGCGCAGAUAUCGGGAGGAACACCGGUGGCGAAGGCGGUUCUCUGGGCCUUACCUGACGCUGAGGAGCGAAAGCGUGGGGAGCGAACAGG